AUUGAACGCUGGCGGCAUGCUUUACACAUGCAAGUCGAACGGUAACAGGUUAAGCUGACGAGUGGCGAACGGGUGAGUAAUGCAUCGGAACGUGCCCGAUCGUGGGGGAUAACGCAGCGAAAGCUGCGCUAAUACCGCAUACGAUCUGAGGAUGAAAGCGGGGGACCGUAAGGCCUCGCGCGAUCGGAGCGGCCGAUGUCAGAUUAGGUAGUUGGUGGGGUAAAGGCUCACCAAGCCAACGAUCUGUAGCUGGUCUGAGAGGACGACCAGCCACACUGGGACUGGGACACGGCCCAGACUCCUACGGGAGGCAGCAGUGGGGAAUUUUGGACAAUGGGCGAAAGCCUGAUCCAGCAAUGCCGCGUGCAGGAAGAAGGCCUUCGGGUUGUAAACUGCUUUUGUACGGAGCGAAAAGGCUCUCUCUAAUACAGGGGGCUCAUGACGGUACCGUAAGAAUAAGCACCGGCUAACUACGUGCCAGCAGCCGCAGUAAGAC
rnacentral:rRNA from 1 species